ensembl:lncRNA
UUCUCAUUAGGAGGCUUUUUUUUAUGAAUGAUACUUCUUUGAACUGAGUAAGGUAAGGAAAUACAUAAUUACAUGUCACAGGUUUGUGGGUUUGUUUUUCUGUUUUUUUUGUUUGUUUGUUUGUUUUUUCAUUUUUAGAGAAGAGGAAAAGAGUGGGGAAGGAAUUCAUUCUUCUUUUUCUUUCUUUUUUUUUUCCCCUCUUAUCUAAAUAAUAGAUAUCUACUGACUUGUUACAAUUAAAUUGUCAUUAACACAUUUAGAAUAUCAGUGUAUAUUUUGGAUCAAUUUGGAGGAAGGAAAUUGCUAGUGCACAACUGUUUAUAAUUGGAAGACUAGUUAUUUUGAAGGCAAUACUACAAAAAGAGGAAAAAGAGGUUUUGGAAAUGUAUGAAGUCAAUUACAGAUUUAUUAUUGUUUAGCUAUGUGGACAUUAAUGAAGGUCCAGAGUAUGCCGAGUUUAUGCAUAUUCACUGUAUACUAUUUAUAAAGGCUCCACCACCUCUCAGCAUUGCUGAUUAAAAUCACUUGUAGCUAUGAGAAUGAUUAUGUAAUCAAAGACAUAUAAAUGUGAUUUUUUUUUUUAAUUAUUCACACCUGCACAAAUUUAAAAUUAUACACUCUGCUGUAUCUUUUAGAUGCUGGAAAAAACAAACAUACUGUUCAUACUCAGUGUGCUAUUUUUAAACGCCUACAAUUUGUUAUUUAAAGUUCAGUUUCUGCUUUUUUUUUUUUUUUUUAUCUUAACAUUGCAAAAAACACUGUUUGUUAUCCAGAGAGAUGAAUAAUUUUAUUUCACUUGGAAUUUUGUGCAUUGUUCCAUAUGAACUGAAAGUAAAAUGUUUGGUGUUGGGUCCUUCUAAAAAAUGUAGGGAUAUACAGAAGUACUUACUGAAAAUUCUUUUUAUCCAUCAGUUUGUGAAUUACAGAAUUCUGCAAGAUUGUGAGAUAUGGAUUCAGUUCCCAGCUUUAUUUGAAUAAUGAACUGAACUAUGCUACCUUUAAUUCUGUGGUAAGGCUGAAGAACAGUGAGGUGAAGGAAGGAAACUGGCUCAUGUCAUAUAAAUAAUUGGAUAGUUAUUGUUAAAAAAAAAAAAAAAAAAGACUCAUCACUACUUUUUGUAGUUAAUGUAUCAGGUACAGUAUAUGAAUCUCUGACUCAGAAUAUUUGAACAGUCCAUACAGAGUGAAGCUACUAUUAUAGGAAGGAUAGUCACUGCAGUGAUCAAUAAGGAGAUGCUUAGCCUUCAUGCUGGCAUUGAAACCAACUCUGACACUACAUCAAUCUUUGACUGGUUCUUAACAGACAUAUAAACUUCAGUUUUUUCACCCUGCUUCUGAGUAUGUCAGCCGCACUGGGAUAAAGGCCCACUGCUAUCUCUGAAGAGCCAUGUAUCUAGAGAAAAUUCACUGAUAUUUUGUUUUGACAGUGACUGUGAUUUUAUGAGAGCUGUCCAUUGCUUCUGUUUUUCCUCUGUCUCAUAUAUUCAAGGAGCCCAUGGGAGUCUGCUUGGCCUGUCCAGGCACAGCAAGGUUUACUAUUUGAACUUAUUGAGCCCCAAGGAGGCUUCUGGACAUACUCCAAGAAAGUUGUCAUAGCCACAGAAUCUCGAUUCUUUUUAUUUGUAUACGCUCUCCUAUGUCAUUCCCUUCAUGGUGGUAAUUCACACUAGACCUCUAGGAUGUUGCUGUUUCUGUGCCUUGAACUCUGUCUGCAUCACCUGUCAUGAUUUUCAGGUCAAACUACAGGCAGACCUUUUUCUUUUAUGGUUAGUUGGUGGUGCUGCUUUUUGCAUUACCUCAUCUAACAGAAAAAGCAGAGAAGAAACUUACAGUCUAAUACUUUACUUUCUCAUUGCUUUCUCUUUUCUGUCUUCCCCCUGGGUGGGCACAUAAUAAGUCUCCAUCUUUUCUCUCAUUCGUCCUUUUCCAUUAUUUUCCAAUAAGUGAUAGGGAGGAAAAGAAUAAAACCUGCCUAAUAACAGCAUAAAUCUGCUUCUGCAUUCCUCUUUCUUCUUUUAACAUUUAUAAUAAAACAAUGUAAUAUCCUCUCCACACAAAUAAAUGCAUACAUUUAUUUUAAAAUUUAUGUACUCAGUAAACCCUGUGUAGCUGCUGACACCAAUGCAGUCCUAACCAGGAAGAGUGCCCAAGCACAGCAGCACCAUACUACCAGGAAAGAAAAAUCCAUGUCUAUUGUGGAAGACCUGGAAAAGAGAGGUGAGGAUGAAGGAGCUGCUGAGUGUGUUCUGGACAACCAGGUGCAAAGUCACCCUGCAUGGGUAGUUCUGUCAGUUGUCCUACACCAGGUUACUUAUCUCUGUUCAUCCAUCUCUGCCCAAAGGUUCCCAGUGCCACAGGCUUAUGGUCUCAACCACAGAGAUAGUCUUUAAGAGGGCAGUUAAUACCUAAUGUCAAAGGUUAAAAAAAAACAAACAAAGGAAAAUAUUAAGUUCUUUAACAUAUAUUAACAUCUUCACAGUUCCUUCUGGCCAGCAAGACUGUAAGAAUACAUUUCCUUAUUUAAACCACAUUGGUAAAAAUCUGAAUUCAGCUCAUACACAAAGAUACCCACAACAGCACUCAAGUCACAACUUUCAGGGCUCCUCGGUUUCUCCCUUUUUUGAAAUGCACAACUGGCAAUUUCCCACACUGAAUAAUUAUUGCAGACAAAAUUGCAAUUUAUGAGGGCCCCUGACGGGAACCACAGUUCAGGCUGUUCCUGUCCAGGCUUCCAUGGACUUCAGUCACCCUUCCCAUGACCCAGGACCCCAUACCACCUGUACUGCUUUCAACUCAUACCCCAGUGAAGCUGCAACAGGGUUGGUUCCCAGCUGCCAAUAGCCCUGUCCUACUCAGCCAUGGUUCUUGCCCUGACAGACCCUGUGGGGAGUGACUGACCCCGCUGUACCCUGAUGGCACAAAACUGAAGAAAACAGUGAGAAGGAAAUUAUUGGCCAUUUUUCAAGGCAGACAAAAGUAAUUGUUUUCAAACUGUGAUACAUUUCUCUCAAAAGUGUCUUUCUUAUAUUGACUUUCAUAUAGUUUUGUGUAAAGAGCUACAGUAGUCUCUUUGAACUACCUACUUAAAAGCAUGUAACUUAAAAAUAAAGCUUUUCUGGAAAGGGAGUGAAAGUUUCCACUCAGUUGUCCUCCAGCCUGCAUCUCAUACUCUGUCUGCAUGUUUCUGUUGUUUUCCUUAUACUGGCAACUUUUUAAUCUUUCAUUUUUAAUUUUCAACAGCCAGAAUUUGAGGAUUGGAAGGAAGACAUGGCUCAGGGAAACUGUUGAAGCUGUGUGGUCUAUCUUUAGCAGCAGCAGAAUGGUUUUAAAAUGACUUAAUCUGCUUGAGGCAUUCUAAGAAACUCCAGAUUUGUGUGUGAUUCUACUAAUAUACACUAAUCAUGAUUCUGUGACUAAAAACGUUCAUGAGAAGAUCACAGGUGACUUAAGGGGAUAUAUUGCAUCAUGGUAAGUGGGUAUAAAUGGAUAAAAAUCACAUAUGUAGAUAUGAAUGCCACAUGAAAGUCAGCGGAGUAGAAAUAGUGCAUGAGUAAGUGGAUUUAUCAUGCUUAUUAAAAAAAACAGAAAUACAUUCCAGGCUGCUAUUGCUCUACCUCUAAAUUAUAGAGCACACAAUACUCACCCUUCUCAAUGUGUAGAAGAAUAAGAGAAUAAGUGUACAGUAACUUCAGAUUGUUUUUUGUUGUUGUUGCUGUUGUUGUUUGUUUUAUUUAUUUAUUAAUAUUUGCAGUGCUGUUUCCUGAUGCUUGAGUUUCCAAAUGUGUGCGGAUAAAGGUAGACUGGUACACAGAGAUUUAGAUUUCAGCAUUCAAGGACCCACAUGGAAGCAAGCUGCAGUUAUCCUUAUGAAUCUAUGUCUUAGUCUUACUGUAGUGCAAAAUUCAUACAUUCUCUUCACCUAUAUUCCAUUCACAACAAUAUAUAUGUAUUGAAAAAAGUUAUGCAAAAACAAAAUGUUCUAAUGUGACUAUGAAACCUUCUGAAUAGUAUCAGAAGCAGAGUUCAUUUUAGUGAGAUGAAAAUUUAGAAAGACCUAAAAAAUUUGCAUUUCUUAUUGUAUUUGUGAAUAUUGCAAAUAAAAUAUCACUGAGUUCGUCAUGGAUGGCCACUGUCAAGAACUAAAAAGUACUAAGAUACAUAAAGAUCCUCAUGGAAAAGUAGGGCAGGGAUGACAGAGAGAAGGGAAGUGCAAUGGUACUUGACACAUUCAGGGCAAGACACUCCUGAUGGACAAUUGCAGUGUCAUUGCCAGCUCAGGAGCAUCUGCUUCAGUCACAUCACAGUCAGUAAAAUACCUCAAUUUCUGUCUUGCUGUUUACUCAUUCAUGUGUGUCAGAAUGCCAAUAGAUAAUCACUGUAUUUUGACGUGGCCUCACAUUUGUUCGAACAGAAAAUCUGAUGCUACAUUGCUGUCUAUAUCAAAAACAAUCUUGUAAAUAUAGCUGUCCCUCAUUUUCAUCCUCCCCAGUUGUUAUCCCUAGCACCAUUGGUGCAGCACAUUUUGUUUUUGUGUUCACUUACAGAAGUUUAAGAUCUAUGGCAGAGGCAAUCAGUAAGUAUUCACAAGAAAAAAAGUUGAAAAUGUAGCAGUGUGCUUUUUGCAGACAGGAUGAUUCACAUAUAUCUUAAUUCAAUUAUACUCAAAUUUAUUUGUUAUACAGUUGACAGCUAGGAAGCUCCUGAUCAUCAGAAUUGAGGCAACAUAUUUAUUCUACUCUGCUUCUCCCUGUACUCCUCUGCUUUUAAUGUCAUUUGAGUCACUGCAGAUUCUUCGUGGAUAUUUGUUGCCCUAUGACUGUUGGCUUCAUAUUCUGCAGGCAGCAGCCAUGCAGCCACUUAAGGUACAUGGAAUAAUACACUACCCUGUUCUCUGGCCGCUGUGGCUCUGCUAGCAAGUAACUGCAGCACAGGAAGACUACUGGGUAGUAUUUACAAAAUAGGUUACUAAUGUUAUUAUGUAUAUACAUAUCUAUGUUUGUGUGCCUAACUUGGCACCCUGCCUUUUUACUAUUUACUGAAUGUGCUUUUGUCUCAAUUAACUGUUUACUUCUGCAGAAUAGUCAUAACUGAAAGUUAAUACAGUGAUAGAGGAAAAAGUAAUCCUUCCUAAUUGGCUGUGGUAAUGUACUUGACUUUUUUUGAAAGCACUUUAUUAUAAGACUUUCACUAUUGGUAAGGAAUCAAAAUAAUCAUUCCCCUCUUUCCUCCUACCCCCGAAGACCUGUAGCUGAUUGUUGUGACAUCACUGCACAUGAAACCCCUGUAUCACUAGUUUUUUAUUCUCUUUAUUAGGAAAAUCACUAGUUUUUUAUUCUCUUUAUUAUCCAUUUGUAAAAUGGAUGUGCUCUCUGUUGUUUCAUACGACAGUUAAGGCCGUUUCAGUGCAGAAUGCUCUUAGCUGAUUAUAAGAAUUACACUCUUUCUGUUCUUCAGUGUAACAAUUAACAAACCUAUAAUAAGAUAGAACAUUCAGCAAGCAAAAUUUCAUAAUGUCUAAAAUAUAAGUCUAUGCAUCAAAUCCAAGCCCUUUUUAUUUAAAGUCAUUUAGCAAUAGCUAUUAUGUAGGAAAAAAAUCUUCAUUUACUUAAAAAGGAAAAAAACCUUAAUUUCCUGAAAAACUGCACUGAAAAAUAAUUGCUUGAAAUGUACACUGUUGUCUGACAAAAAAAAACCUUCUAAUUUGCUUUUGCAGGAUCUUCCUUGAACCAAUCUAGACAGAAAGAUAUCCUUUACUGUUACUGAUGGGAUGGAAUGAGGCCAAGGCUGAUGGAGAGAACACUGACCAGAAUGCUGAGUUUUUUCAUGCAUUUUCAGCGGAAAGAAUAUAAAGCAUCAAAGACUGAGGCCAGAGCCUUCCUUCAGGGUCUUGCUCAACCACUUCUGUGCAACUGGAAUUUUGUUUUUCAGUUUCCUUUUUGGUUCAUACACACAGGCCAUUCUUCUCACUUAGAAGUUAAAAUCUAUCUGUUUGGAAAAUACUUUAGUGGCAGAAGCAGACUCCAGGCAGCAGAGCACAGGGUUCAGGCCUCAUCAGUGUGGUAGUGUCUGAACUUUCAACUCUUUCAUUGCCAAUGGCUAUUUUAUAUGAGUAAAUUGUAUGCAGCAGGACCACAAAAGUAAGUGGUGUGGUAUACUUCACUGCAUUAUGAUGGAAGCCUCAAUUUGGUUUCAUUCAUUUAGUUUAACUGGAACAAAUUCUGGCUUAGUUAUUUCUUGAAUCAUCUGGACAUAUUAGUUGGUAUGGGCCAAAUCAAUGCUGAAAGCAGGUUGAUGACUGAACAGAAUAGAUGAAAAAGUGCUAGUAUUAGACCAUAUGCCUUGGUCCUCCUAAAUUUAUUGGAAUAGACAUAACCAAUAAAUACCAUGAUAACAGGAUUAUGGGAUACUCUGUCUUCCACAUUCUUCCAUUUGUAGCUGAGCCAUGUUUGCAGAAAGUAAUAAUUGAUUCAGAAGCCCAGACACAGUGCAAGUGAAAGGUAAGUGACUUCCUCAGCAGUGUAAAGCAUUCCACAAAUAAAAAGAAAAUCAAACGUGAGAUUCUCAUUUGCUGGGCAAGUGCUCUAUAUGCAACAUAGAACAAGAAUACAUCAUUUCCAUUUCCUUCCUUCUCAUUAUUUCAAAGAGAGUAAGAACUUCUUAUUUCUUUGAAAGUAUGUUUUACUCUGUGGAUUCAAAAUGGAUGCAGUCACCUCCAUCUUGGUUUUGAAGAUGCCCAAAACUCUACAGACUUAUUAUAGCCUUACAGUCCAAGUCACAUACAUUUUAAUAGGCUCUUCAUAAUCAUUUGUACUGCAGAGUUUGUACUGCAUUCACCAGAACUGAUGAGAGGUAAUCACUGAGAUAAGGCACUUUCUGAUAUUCCAAUUAUAAUUUCAAUGAUAAUAAGAAGCAAAGAAUUCUUGAAAGAUAUUAUUUAUAAAAAUUUCUUCCCAUCCUUCUAUAAUGAAAUAGCUUUUAAAAAAAUCUUUAUAGGCAUUUGCUAACUCUAGAGGUGUGACAACUUUCUGAGAUAAACAAACAGGUUUGUUUUAGGCAAUGAACACCACAAAGACAUAAUAACACAUACACAGCGUGCAGUAAAGCAGAAUGCAACCAUUUAAACUCCACCUAAAAUCAACAUAACACGUGACUCCAAAUUAUUUAAUCUACACAGAUGUUGUAAAUCAUAUUCAUUAUUUAAUUAUAAUAGGAAAAAUUACUGUCACACAGUUUUGCAAAGUGUAGGCAGCUCUCUUUUACUACUUUGUUAAAUAUAUUGCCCACUAGGUGGGGGUAGCUAACCUUAUUCAAAGGAUGAUACUCUGAGAAGAAAAUUUAGUCAAAAAAUGGAAUAAAAACCACAUUAAAACUUAAGGGCUUUUUUUUCUUAUUACUUUUUCCUCUUUACUGUCAUAAAAUGAGAUUAAUUACUGUUUGUUAACUAUUGAGCUUUGUAAGUGAUAAUAAAUGGAGGUCACUGGCAAUUAUGUUUAAUUUGAGCUGAUGGGGAACUACAGCAUUGAACUUUCAGUAUUACAAGUCAGGAUAUUCCUGUACCACUACAAAACAACUAUUUUCCUGGAAAAUAAAGAAUGAAGACAAAGCUUUCAUCCUUUGGCAACAAAUCAUUA